rnacentral:tRNA from 1 species
UGCUAGAUAGCUCAGUUGGUAGAGCACCUGACUAGAGAUUCAGGGGGCCUGGGUUUGAAUCCCGGUCUGGUCC